rnacentral:rRNA from 1 species
GAAUCUUGCGCAAUGGCCGAAAGGCUGACGCAGCGACGCCGCGUGGGGGAGGAAGGCCUUCGGGUUGUAAACCCCUGUUGCCCGGGACGAAUGCGCUCUUGAGAGAGUGUUGACGGUACCGGGUGAGGAAGCACCGGCUAACUCCGUGCCAGCAGCCGCGGUAAUACGGAGGGUGCAAGCGUUGUCCGGAAUCACUGGGCGUAAAGGGCGCGUAGGCGGCUCAUGAAGGCUGUGGUGAAAGUCCGGGGCUCAACCUCGGAUCGGCCGUGGCGACUCGUGGGCUGGAGCACUGUAGAGGCGGGUGGAAUUCCGGGUGUAGCGGUGGAAUGCGUAGAGAUCCGGAAGAACACCAGUGGCGAAGGCGGCCCGCUGGGCAGUGGCUGACGCUGAAGCGCGACAGCGUGGGGAGCAAAC